rnacentral:lncRNA from 1 species
CCUUGCGGCCGCUGUGAGGGGAGGCGGCUCCGUGAGGGAGCGGCGGGAACGGGACCGGCAAUGGGAGCGGGACCGGCAAUGGGAACGGGAAAAGGAACGGGAACGGGAAAAGGAACGGGAACGGGACCGGGAACAGCACCAGGAGCAGCGACGGGACCGGGAUCCGAACCGCCAACGAGCGCCAACAGGACCAGGUCUGGUAAUGCGGCUGCGGCCCUGCCCCCAGCGCGGCCGCCCUUGGCCUUUUCCCCGUUACGAUUUUUCCAUGUACUUUCCAACAUAUUUCCCAAAUAUUUUUAAAUCAAAAUUUUAAUGCUUUAAAAAAUAUAUAUAUUUAUAUUUUUUCCCCCCGCGGGUGUAAGUUCCCUGUUGUUGUCCCCGCCUGCCUCUCCCUCAGGGCAGAAUUCCCUUUUCCCUCUGCGACCCCGGUUUUGGCUCCCAGCCCUGCCGCUGCACCUCUGUGAAAAUAUUUCAUUAUUGGCUUUUCGCUGAUGGUACAAUGAAUAUUGUGUGUGUCAUGUUAGAAAGUGAUUCUGUAUUAAUUCUCUUAAGUAGUUUUUUUUAGCGUUCAGGAGCACACAUCAUCACAGGAUAUGAUUAUAUGCAGAUUAUGUGCUUUUAUUGAGAGCUUUGGGAAUCAGGUACAGACCCAAACCUGACUCUGACAUGGCUCUUGAGCUGAAUGUAUUUUAUAUUCUAUCCUUAUAUAACUUACAUAUUAAUUAUUAAACUUAUAUUGUUCUAUUGUAUACAUUGACUUUAUCCAAGCAUGAGUUUCUCGUCAUCUUUCUCAGGCCCCUGACCACAGUUUCUCAUCAUUAUUCUUAUGAUUAAACAGUAAUUAUAUUUAAUUACUAAACAAUCAUCACAUCUAACAAUUAUAUCAUUUAUCAUGUACUAGCCACACAGGUGCAGUUCUAGCAAGGUACAAGGCCUACAUGUUCCCAGGGUAUUUUUUUCAGGGCCUACUAAGCUUAAUUUUCCUUUUAACCCUAAAUCCCCAUGAUUUUAAAACCCUUUUACUACCAGUGUGAUAAAUGUAGUUUUAGGCUACAACAUAACAUUAAAAUAGAAAGUCUGUGAUACAGAAUUUGUUACAAGCUUGAGCAGGAAGAUGAGAUAAUCAAGAAACUCUUCACACAGAGAUGUCAGUGUGCACCUGAAAAAAAUUACUGUCUCCUUAUAAGAAAAAACAAACAUUCUUCCACCUCUCCAUCUUUUUGGAACCACCAAGAUUAAGGAGAAGUUGACAAAAACCAGAAAAUUUCUUAAUUUGCAAUGAAUUUAUGCCUCAUGUAUAUGAGAUAUAUGAAUAUGCAACAGGCUGUUGCUUUUAAGGUUAUUCUUUGUUCACAAAAGAUGCUUUUCAUGACUUAGUGUCCAAAAACAGCCGGAUGUCCGUAAUUCUUUGCUUUUUAUUGUCUUGUAGUUCUCCUAACUCUAAAUUUUACUACUCUAAUUGCAUUACUAUUUUGAUAAUCAUUUUAUUAUUAUUAAACUUUUAAAAAUUUG